rnacentral:rRNA from 1 species
AUUGAACGCUGGCGGCAUGCCUUACACAUGCAAGUCGAACGGCAGCACGGAGCUUGCUCUGGUGGCGAGUGGCGAACGGGUGAGUAAUAUAUCGGAACGUACCCUAGAGUGGGGGAUAACGUAGCGAAAGUUACGCUAAUACCGCAUACGAUCUAAGGAUGAAAGCGGGGGAUCGCAAGACCUCAUGCUCGUGGAGCGGCCGAUAUCUGAUUAGCUAGUUGGUAGGGUAAAAGCCUACCAAGGCAUCGAUCAGUAGCUGGUCUGAGAGGACGACCAGCCACACUGGAACUGAGACACGGUCCAGACUCCUACGGGAGGCAGCAGUGGGGAAUUUUGGACAAUGGGCGAAAGCCUGAUCCAGCAAUGCCGCGUGAGUGAAGAAGGCCUUCGGGUUGUAAAGCUCUUUUGUCAGGGAAGAAACGGUGAGAGCUAAUAUCUCUUGCUAAUGACGGUACCUGAAGAAUAAGCACCGGCUAACUACGUGCCAGCAGCCGCGGUAAUACGUAGGGUGCAAGCGUUAAUCGGAAUUACUGGGCGUAAAGCGUGCGCAGGCGGUUUUGUAAGUCUGAUGUGAAAUCCCCGGGCUCAACCUGGGAAUUGCAUUGGAGACUGCAAGGCUAGAAUCUGGCAGAGGGGGGUAGAAUUCCACGUGUAGCAGUGAAAUGCGUAGAUAUGUGGAGGAACACCGAUGGCGAAGGCAGCCCCCUGGGUCAAGAUUGACGCUCAUGCACGAAAGCGUGGGGAGCAAACAGGAUUAGAUACCCUGGUAGUCCACGCCCUAAACGAUGUCUACUAGUUGUCGGGUCUUAAUUGACUUGGUAACGCAGCUAACGCGUGAAGUAGACCGCCUGGGGAGUACGGUCGCAAGAUUAAAACUCAAAGGAAUUGACGGGGACCCGCACAAGCGGUGGAUGAUGUGGAUUAAUUCGAUGCAACGCGAAAAACCUUACCUACCCUUGACAUGGCUGGAAUCCCCGAGAGAUCAGGGAGUGCUCGAAAGAGAACCAGUACACAGGUGCUGCAUGGCUGUCGUCAGCUCGUGUCGUGAGAUGUUGGGUUAAGUCCCGCAACGAGCGCAACCCUUGUCAUUAGUUGCUACGAAAGGGCACUCUAAUGAGACUGCCGGUGACAAACCGGAGGAAGGUGGGGAUGACGUCGAGUCCUCAUGGCCCUUAUGGGUAGGGCUUCACACGUCAUACAAUGGUACAUACAGAGCGCCGCCAACCCGCGAGGGGGAGCUAAUCGCAGAAAGUGUAUCGUAGUCCGGAUUGUAGUCUGCAACUCGACUGCAUGAAGUUGGAAUCGCUAGUAAUCGCGGAUCAGCAUGUCGCGGUGAAUACGUUCCCGGGUCU